rnacentral:rRNA from 1 species
UACGUAGGGCGCAAGCGUUGUCCGGAAUUAUUGGGCGUAAAGAGCUCGUAGGUGGUUUGUCGCGUCUGUUGUGAAAAGCCCCGGGGCUUAACUCCGGGUUUGCAGUGGAUACGGGCAGGCUAGAGGCAGGUAGGGGAGAACGGAAUUCCCGGUGUAGCGGUGAAAUGCGCAGAUAUCGGGAGGAACACCGGUGGCGAAGGCGGGUCUCUGGGCCGAUACUGACGCUGAGGAGCGAAAGCGUGGGGAGCAAACAGGAUUGAGAA